UUCCUGGCUAGUUCACUAUUUUGAAAUGCAUAAUAUCAAUGCACUAGCUCAAUAAUUGAUUUGUAGGAAUACCGGUCCAAAGUUCAUUUGUGCAGUAGCUGAAACCACUCAUGAGAUUCGUAGACAAAAUAGGCUACUAUUCUUUACUUCAUUAUUCCUCUUUUUGGUUGCCAGGAGAUAUUGGAUUGCUUCAAAUACAUGUAUUUUAUGAUGGACUUAAUUAUUAAUCCUUCGCUUAGUUAUUUCAUAAUGCAGUUUGUUACACAUUCAAUUGCUUCUUGAUUUUGAAAUUGUAGGUGUUAUAGCCUAUGUUACAUAAAAAGACAGUCCAUUGCAAGAGCUUUUUCUUUUCCAUUAAUGGCAAAAUAGGUAUUUUCGUCCUCGAACUUUCGUCCAUAGGUCAACUUCGUCCCUCAACUUUCAUGUGGACCAAUUUAGAACUCCAACUUCAGUUUUCCGGUUCAAUCUCAUCCUUCAUCUGACUUGAAUGUCCAUGUAGACCUUCCACAUCAGCCAGCCUCAUCAUGCCAUUGGAUGCAAAUGUCCAAUAUGCCCUCAUUUUAUUUGGCUGCAUCCCCUCUCGCUCCAUCUAUUGCCCCCUCGGAUGCCUUGGUCAACGCUCGCUCUAUCCCUCCAAGGCUCCAAGGCUCCAUGCCUCCAUCCAUCCUCGUCGUGGCGAACCCGUUCCUCCGAACUGCAGGCCCUCGCUGGAGGCUACCGCAACAAUGGAAGGCACCAUGAUGUACCUGGCGAGAGACCCAGCCGUGUCUGACUUGUCGCCGUCCUGGGCAUCGCACGCCACGAUGUGGGUGCUGUGUUCUCCGCCUGGUGAUCUAUUUGAACGGCGUGACGGAGACUCAUGGCCCAGCGAUGGUGUGCAUGUUGAAGCUCGAGCUGGAUGCGCUGCCGGCAGGGUCUCCAGCACCUGGGCUGCAGGUGGAUGUGACGGAUCCCGUGACGAUCCAGGAGUGUGCCCGCGGACGGACGCGCCAAGAGGGAGGUGCUGUUCUGGGGCAAACGUCCGAUGUGGAGCGAGAAGGGGUGCAGGGCCUGCAGGCUAAUUGAAUGAGGGCAUAAAGGACAUUUCCAUCUGAUGACAUGCGGCUAACUGAUGUGGAAGGCUUAACUGGACGUCCAGGUCAGCCUAAGGACGAGAAUGAAUCGCAAAACUGAAGUUGGUGGACUAAAUUGAUCCGCACGAAAGUUGAAGGAUGAAUUUGAUCCAUGGGUAAAAGUUUAAGGAUGAAAUUAGCUAUUCUACCUCCAUUAAUCAAAAUCUUCACAGAAAGGUGACAGUGAAAUUGGCAGUUUACUUCAGCUUGCACUUAACUAUUUAUCUAACUGAAUUAUCUAUAUGAAUUACUUCAAAUUGCUCUCAAGUAUUAGCCUGCUGCUAUUUUCUUCCAAUUGCAUUGUGCACUGAAGGCUAUUUGUGCAUUUUUAUGUUCAUCUUGAUUUACCUACAAAGUUCCUGCAGAUUCUCGAAGACAUGGGAUUUGAGACAGAGAUCGGCUUGUAGGACAAAGACGGGAUGCAACAGUAUAGCAGGGAGAUGAUAUUAAGACUUGUUUAGCUAGUGAAUACAAAGUACUUUAAUAAAUUAAACUUAAUUGAUUUCAUCCUUGAGAUAUAUGCUAUUGAAUAAAGAUUUUUUCUGGAGCCUUUCAUGA